AUUGUGCGCACACGCAUGCAUGCAUGCACACGCACACGCAUGCACGCA
rnacentral:precursor_RNA from 1 species